UACGUAGGGUGCGAGCGUUAAUCGGAAUUACUGGGCGUAAAGCGUGCGCAGGCGGUUGUGCAAGACAGAUGUGAAAUCCCCGGGCUCAACCUGGGAACUGCAUUUGUGACUGCAUCGCUGGAGUGCGGCAGAGGGGGAUGGAAUUCCGCGUGUAGCAGUGAAAUGCGUAGAUAUGUGGAGGAAUACCGAUGGCGAAGGCAGCCCCCUGGGAUAACACUGACGCUCAUGCACGAAAGCGUGGGGAGCAAACAGG
rnacentral:rRNA from 1 species